rnacentral:rRNA from 1 species
GACAUAGGGGGCGAGCGUUGUCCGGAGUUACUGGGCGUAAAGGGCAUGCAGGCGGUCGGACGCGUUUCGGGUGACAGCGGGUGGCUUAACUACCCGAGUGGUCGAAAGACGGUUUGACUUGAGGACGCGAGAGGGACACGGAAUUCCGGGUGGAGUGGUGAAAUGCGUAGAGAUCCGGAGGAACACCGAAGGCGAAGGCAGUGUCCUGGCGCGUAACUGACGCUGAGGUGCGAAAGCCAGGGGAGCGAACGGG